GAUGAACGCUGGCGGCGUGCCUAAUACAUGCAAGUCGAGCGAACAGACGAGGAGCUUGCUCCUCUGACGUUAGCGGCGGACGGGUGAGUAACACGUGGAUAACCUACCUAUAAGACUGGGAUAACUUCGGGAAACCGGAGCUAAUACCGGAUAAUAUAUUGAACCGCAUGGUUCAAUAGUGAAAGACGGUUUUGCUGGCACUUAUAGAUGGAUCCGCGCCGCAUUAGCUAGUUGGUAAGGUAACGGCUUACCAAGGCAACGAUGCGUAGCCGACCUAAGAGGGUGAUCGGCCACACUGGAACUGAGACACGGUCCAGACUCCUACGGGAGGCAGCAGUAGGGAAUCUUCCGCAAUGGGCGAAAGCCUGACGGAGCAACGCCGCGUGAGUGAUGAAGGUCUUCGGAUCGUAAAACUCUGUUAUUAGGGAAGAACAAAUGUGUAAGUAACUAUGCACGUCUUGACGGUACCUAAUCAGAAAGCCACGGCUAACUACGUG
rnacentral:rRNA from 1 species